UGUUUGAUCUUUAUUUGAUACUUUAGACUGCAAAUUAACUACAUUUGAUCUGAACUGUGUACCCCUCACCGCCAUGUUGAUGUUUUACCAAAGAGAGCACAGUAAUGGCCGGGAUACUACCACAGAUGUUGCUGCCAUAAAUACUGGAAUCAAAUGUUAUAUUUUCCCUUCAAACCCCCCUCUACCUUUACAAUUAUGGACUCUUUUUCAAUUACACCUUUUCAAUGGUACAAAUGGAAAAACAGGUGCUUUAUUAUACGUUGAUGACACACUCUGAUUACCAUCUGUUAGCCAUUCGCCAAUUUCUAGAUUUACAGUAAGAGAGGCACACAUUCAGAUUUUCACUUUCCUGUUAAGUCUAUUUCAGAAAUGUUAAAACUAACUCAAACAAUGCAGAUUUUACAUUGAAUUUCUUCUUCGGCACUUCUAGCCUUGUGCUUUGGAAAGUUUGAUAGAACUUGUAAUAUUUUCCUACUUAUAGUUACAGCAGGGCUGUAAUAGCAAAAUGUAAAAUACUGCCUUGUUCCAUUUAUGUCAGCCUGUGGUUUAUUCACUGAAUGCAGCCCUUCUCUCCACCAGUGUCCAUCUGUAGUGUGUGUGUGUAUAUAUUUGUGGUACGGUUAAUUUUGCAGCCUGUUUAACUACAAGUCAAUAUAAAAAAGUCUUUUUAAAAGGACUCCUUGGAGUAUGAAUGAAUGUGUGAUUUAUGGUUCUGCGGAGGCUGCACCCAGAGCUUUUGCCGUAGCCUAUGUAAGCAGCCUGAAGUUUAUACUUGUGGUGUGUGCGUUGUGCCGAG